rnacentral:tRNA from 2 species
GAAUGGGAUGCUACAUUGGUAAUGGUCGGG